ensembl:lncRNA
AAAAAAAAAUAUUGUUUACAUAUUAUAGAAAAACUAUAUUAAAAAAAACGAAUAAAAGGGAUAGUUCACAUUAAAAAUGAAAAAAGAAAAAAAAUCUAAUAUUUAUAAUAUAAAUUUCACGAUCUUCUCUUAUAACACAAUAAUGGCUUUAAAUUAUCUUUUGUGGGUUAUUUCACAGCCAAAUUUGAUGUGCGAUUAAUAUGUGAUUAAUUAGAUUAUUCAAUUGCCAAACUGUGUAAUUAAUUAGAUAAAAAAAUGUAAACAAUUGACAGCCCUAGUAGAAAUACUCCAAACUCGAUAGUCUUCAGGGACUAAGAUGUAUAAUAAUACAAAAGCAGGACGUCCUAUCAGAAGCCAACAUCUCAGAGAAUUGGUAAUCUUUGCAUUACAGCUGCACUCAUCACAGAGCUUGAUGAAGCACCUCAGUGGGUGAUGGAUGGGCUUCUGUGUUCAGUUUCCCGCGGGAUCGCUGUCUUGGAUGGUGAUGUUGAGUGGUGUCCCUCCACAUCUAUAGGAACAAAUCAUGGCGUCAGGUGGUGUGGCGCUCUCACUCACCCUUGCUCAGCUGAGUCACUCUUACCAUAGCGAAUACCUGCUUUAUAUCUCUCACUGACAGUGAAGAUCAAUAGUGAUGCCUCGCUCGGUGGGUGACGGUUGGGGUCCAAUUCAGCUUCUCGUGGGAGACUAACGCCUCCUGUGCUGUGGUGCAUGAGAAAUAACAACAACAGCAAUAAUAAUACAUUUGCAAAUAAGCUGUGAUGCAGUGACUACCAAUGGGAGAAAAGAAAGUGGUCGGCCACCUGAUACAGCUGGAUAUGGAAGAAGACAAAUAAUAAGAACCAUAAAAGAAUAAGAAUAACAGAAAAAACUAAAAUAAAAAUGUAUAAUUUAAUAGUAAUAGUAAAUAGUAGGCCUUCAUGUAUAAUUAUCAAUUGUGUAAUAAUAAAAUAAGUUUUAUAAUUAUAUGUAUAAUAACUACAAAUAAUUGACUUUUUCAAAAUAAAAAUAAAAAUAGUACAGGAGAUCGCUGGAGACUAGAAGGUGAGUACACAGGAGAUCGCUGGAGACUAGAAGGUGAGUACACAGGAGAUCGCUGGAGACUAGAAGGUGAGUACACAGGAGAUCGCUGGAGACUAGAAGGUGAGUACAGGAGAUCGCUGGAGACUAGAGGGUGAGUACACAGGAGAUCGCUGGAGACUAGAAGGUGAGUACAGGAGAUCGCUGGAGACUAGAAGGUGAGUACACAGGAGAUCGCUGGAGACUAGAAGGUGAGUACACAGGAAAUCGCUGGAGACUAGAAGGUGAGUACAGGAGAUCGCUGGAGACUAGAAGGUGAGUACACAGGAGAUCGCUGGAGACUAGAAGGUGAGUACAGGAGAUCGCUGGAGACUAGAAGGUGAGUACACAGGAAAUCGCUGGAGACUAGAGGGUGAGUACACAGGAGAUCGCUGGAGACUAGAAGGUGAGUACAGGAGAUCGCUGGAGACUAGAAGGUGAGUACAGGAGAUCGCUGGAGACUAGAAGGUGAGUACACAGAGGAGACUAGAAGGAGAGUACAGGAGAUCGCUGGAGACACAGAGGUGAGUAUAGAUCACUGGAGACUUAAAAUGGAACAGGUAAGACUUUGAUGAAGGAAAAUCACUUAAGGAUCCUUUACAGGCACAAGGAGUGGUCUAAGAGUCCAUAAGGGUGACCAGGCAAUGGGUGCUUCUCAAAUGGAAGGGCACUUCAUUAUAAGGCUGUAUAUCCAAGCUGCCACAUUAUCAAGCUCCAUCUAAGGAUGUCUCGAUGUUAAGGAUCCUUAGUAGGCAGUCUAAUUUACAAUGGAAGCCUGUGUGGGGCAAGACUUUGCAUUGGAAUAAACAUUUCAAAACCAUAAAACGUAUACAUUAUACAUGUUAACAUAAACUUUAUGAUAAAAUGGUUACUAACCAUAUAAGCAACGUUAUAUUCAUUUUUAACUGCUGUGAUGACAAUGUAAAUCCAGUAAUUUUCGCAUGACACACGUGGAUACUAGAAACGGAAUGUGUGUUAACAGAGCACACUUGGUAAUACUUUAUUUUACAGUGUCAUUUUUACAUGUUAUGUGCAAUUACUAUAGUAUAAUAACAGUAAAUAAUGCAUAACGCCUUGCAACUAAGUCUAAAUCAAAGCCCUAAUCCUUUAGUAAGUACAUGUUGUUAAUUAAAUAUUCCUCAGUGUACUUAAAUGUAAAAAAAGAAAUAAAAAAGAAUCAAUAAAAUAGUUUUAACCAAACUAUGCACUUUUAAAUCUUCUGUAAUCGUGUACUUCAUAGUUGUCUUUCGUAAACUGAUUUCUGUAAACACAUUCUUGUGGAAUUAACGUCUUUAUUAUUUGUCUGCUCUCUUAACAGGGACCUAAGCAGUGCUGAGAUUCUCCAGGAUCAGUACAGUCUGCUUGGAAGACAAACAGCAGUAUACUGGCGCAGUUUGGCCGCAGGUGGACAAAGAUUGCCAAACUAAUCGGCACUAGGACAGUUCUACAGGCGAAGAGCUAUGCUAGGCAGUGCUUCAAAAAUAAGGUAUGACUUUAGACCAUUUCCACAUCACUAUAUGAAUAUCUAUACGCUUUUGGUUCAGAUGUGUGGUGCUUUAAACUGAAUUCAUAUAUAAGAGAAUAAUUAUAAAUAUAGACAUCAAAGGGGGUAUUUUUAAAAUCCUCAAAAAAAUAGCGUCCUAUAAAAGCAUUCUGAAGGUGUUCACUAACAAUAACAAUGUCAGUAACACCCGAUGUACUUGUUACAUCGUAAGAAGAAUGGCAUCUACGCUAAUAUCAGUCUGUCUCAUUCGUAUUCUGAGGUCACUAUAGCCACCCAGAUCCAGUCUGUAUCCAGAUCAGAUGGUCACUGCAGUGGCCCGGAUCCAGUCCAGAUGGUGGAUCAGCACCUAGAGACGACCAGGACAACCCUGAAUGUCAGAAGAGAUCAUGUCAACUAGAAGAGUCCCAAAGACAGAUCCCCAGCGAAAGACCUCGUCAACUAUAGGGCCACUGGCACAAAACCUCAGCAAAGACCAUGAUGAACCACAUCAUAUUCGUCAGUGGAGAAUUGCUCCUCCCCACAGAUUGAGUCUGGUUACUACCAAGGUUUUUUCUCCAUUUCGUAUUGCCUUUGGCUUGCUUAGGUGGGGACACUGCAUUUUUGGGGUUAUUAACGACUUGAUUUCACAGACAAUAUAUGAAGAGAACUGAACUGAGCUGGAUGAUGAUGACAUCAAUGAGUCAACGAUGAACUGACUUUUACUGAAAUAUUGCCUGUUUAUUUUUUUACUUUUUAGAGCUGCUUUACAGCAUAACUGAAUUUUGUUUGCAUUAUCUACACUAUUUUCCUGUUUAACAAUGUAAAGCUGCUAUUACACAAUCUGUUUUGUAUAAAG